CGGACCGGCGCACGGGUGAGUAACGCGUAUGCAACUUACCUAUCAGGAGGGGAUAACCCGGCGAAAGUCGGACUAAUACCGCAUGAAGCAGGGGCCCCGCAUGGGGAUAUUUGCUAAAGAUUCAUCGCUGAUAGAUAGGCAUGCGUUCCAUUAGGCAGUUGGCGGGGUAACGGCCCACCAAACCGACGAUGGAUAGGGGUUCUGAGAGGAAGGUCCCCCACAUUGGUACUGAGACGCGGACCAA
rnacentral:rRNA from 1 species